GGAAUUUUGGACAAUGGGGGAAACCCUGAUCCAGCCAUCCCGCGUGUAUGAUGAAGGCCUUCGGGUUGUAAAGUACUUUUGGCAGAGAAGAAAAGGUACCUCCUAAUACGAGGUACUGCUGACGGUAUCUGCAGAAUAAGCACCGGCUAACUACGUGCCAGCAGCCGCGGUAAUACGUAGGGUGCAAGCGUUAAUCGGAAUUACUGGGCGUAAAGCGUGUGUAGGCGGUUCGGAAAGAAAGAUGUGAAAUCCCAGGGCUUAACCUUGGAACUGCAUUUUUAACUGCCGAGCUAGAGUAUGUCAGAGGGGGGUAGAAUUCCACGUGUAGCAGUGAAAUGCGUAGAUAUGUGGAGGAAUACCGAUGGCGAAGGCAGCCCCCUGGGAUAAUACUGACGCUCAGACACGAAAGCGUGGGGAGCAAACAGGAUUAGAUACCCUGGUAGUCCACGCCCUAAACGAUGUCAACUAGCUGUUGGGGCCGUUAGGCCUUAGUAGCGCAGCUAACGCGUGAAGUUGACCGCCUGGGGAGUACGGUCGCAAGAUUAAAACUCAAAGGAAUUGACGGG
rnacentral:rRNA from 1 species